CCUACGGGAGGCAGCAGUAGGGAAUAUUGCUCAAUGGGGGAAACCCUGAAGCAGCAACGCCGCGUGGAGGAUGAAGGUUUUAGGAUUGUAAACUCCUUGUGUGAGAGAAGAGAAGGACGGUAGCUCACGAAUAAGCACCGGCUAACUCCGUGCCAGCAGCCGCGGUAAUACGGAGGGUGGAAGCGUUACUCGGAAUCACGGGGCGGAAAGAGUGCGCAGGCGGGCUUGUAAGUCAGAUGUGAAAUCCUGUCGCUUAACGACAGAACUGCAUUUGAAACUAUGAGUCUAGAGUGUGGGAGAGGUAGGUGGCAUUCUUUGUGUAGGGGUCACAUCCGUAGAUAUCCCGCGGAAUACUCAUUGCGACGGCGACCUACUGGAACAUUACUGCCGCUCAUGCACGAAAGCGUGGGGAGCAAACCGGCUUAGCUACCCCAGUAGUC
rnacentral:rRNA from 1 species